GACAACCAUUUUUAGGGCGUUUUGGCAAGCUGGUAAAGCAUCUGCAUCAGCGUAUUUUCACAGGACAGAACCAGAAACCAGUUAGGCUGGUGAACUCUGACAGGAGCUUACAGUGCUGACCAGUUUUGUUCUAGUGCUCAAACAUUACUUCACAGAGAGCCCAGCUGUAGAUGUCGUUUCAGUGGAGAUAAACAUGUGACAGACUCGCCUGUCUCCAGCUAAGCCAUGGUGACCUGCACCGCACUUCAACGUGGUACAUGCUAGUAGCAAAAGGAAAGCGCUGCCUAGGGGAAAGGUGACAGGAACUAGGUAUGUUUACCAUAUUUUUGGUAGAAGAGUUCACAGAACCCUUCCCCUGCUUUUCUGGACUAUCUGUCUUCAAAGCACAGCAUUAUCUUCCAAGGACUUUUGGAGGAAGGACUUCUCUGGGACAGAGUGGAAUAGCAGGUCAGGAAGUGAAUUAAUUCAAUACUUAUUCUGAGAGAUCUCUUCAAGGAUUUUCAAGGAUUCAUGGUCACGUCAAUGCUCAACUUGACUCAGAGCAAGAAUGUCCCCCAGGUUCCUAUAACAGGGCAAAACCUUUAAAUAUUCUACAUGUUACUAACUGUCCAUGAGGGUGGGUUGGUGAGAGGGUCUCAGAGUAUUUUCUUUCUUUUUUCUUUUUUCCUUUUUAAUUUCUCCAGGCAUUGUUUUGUUCUACUGAAAACCAAGGUGCCAUCAAAAUAUCAUUUUUUACAGAAAUCUUACUGUUACACAUUCAUUAACUGUAAUGAAAAGAUCCUCCAUCUUUUAGAGGACACCUUAUGCACAGCAAACAGGGGAAGUGAGAGGGUUGCCAUAGUCUGCUGUACUAUUUAACUGGCAAUUAACACACUUAUUAUUUUAUUCCUUCUUUUUUCACUAGGAAAACAAGUUGGCAGUUAAGAGGUUAUAGUCUAGAAUUUACACUAUUAAAAUGGUUAAAUAUUACUGGGUUUUAGCAUAUUUAGCAAGAUAAAUGCUUUCCACUUUCCACACUCAGCUUUGAAAAUGUGGUCUGUAAGUGUUAAAACAUUUCCAAACACACUGGGAAAAAAACCUGCAGAUGUACAUACUGGGAUGAAUCAAAAGAAUACCUGUAUUUUGACUGCAAAAUUUUACCCGAUAUAUAAAAUAUGCACAUUUUAGCACCACUGCCUGAUUUUUAUGCCCUUAAAUGCAUGCAACAUUUUUCUUAAUAGACCAAAUUACUUCAAAGCAUUUCUGACAUCUUGGACAUCUAUUCAAAAUUACAGAAGCCAGAAGGCAUUUGUAGACUGUUCUCUCAUUUCCCUCCAUGGUUUGUCAAAGUGCUACAAACAUCAAGGGCUGCUUACAGUUAUCUGUAAAUAAGACAACUAGCAAGGACAUAGAGGCCUUAGCAAAGCCUAGAGAAGAAUAGGCCUCAACUAAAUAUAUCAUUAAAUAACAUAGAUCUUAGAAUUGCAAACUUAUGAUCUGAAUACUCUGUUAAGUAGGUUUCUUGUAGGGGAAUCAUAGAAUCAUAGAAUGGUUUAGGUUGGAAGGAACCUUUAAAGGUUCAUCUAGUCCAACCCCUCCCAGCAAUAACAGGGACAUCUUCAACUAGAUCAGGUUGCUCAGAGCCCCGUCCAGCCUGACCUGGAAUGUUUCCAGGGAUGGGGCAUCUACCACCUCUCUGGGCAACCUGUGCCAGUGUGUCACCACCCUCAUUUUUAAAAAAUUUUUUCCUUAUAUCCAGUCUAAAUCUACCGUCCUUUAGUUUAAAGCCAUCACCCCUUGUCCUGUCACAAGAGGCCUUGCUAAAAAGGUUGCCCCCAUCCUUCCUAUAGUCCCCCUU